rnacentral:sRNA from 1 species
AGUUUCUGAGUGGCCGCGAGCUGGCCGGGAGGCUGGAGCCCAGCAGCAGCGCGGCGGCGCCGGCGUCGUCCCAACUUGCAGGCGCGGAGGGACCCCUGACAUUUCACUAAAAUGAGCGUGCUCAGCAGGAAGAGAUGUGUUCCUCACGCUAGAAGCCACCCCGUCACAUGUAGUGGUGUCCCGUUUAAUGGAUUCUGACAUGGAUUAUGAAAGGCCAAACGUAGAGACCAUCAAGUGCGUUGUGGUGGGGGACAACGCCGUGGGUAAGACCAGGCUCAUCUGUGCCCGCGCUUGCAAUGCCACCCUCACCCAGUACCAGCUGCUGGCCACGCAUGUGCCCACAGUAUGGGCCAUCGACCAAUAUCGUGUGUGCCAGGAGGUAAGGCUGCAGGGCUACCUGGCUGGGGGUCCACGCCAUGAGUCUGGGCUUGGGGGCUUCCUGAGGCAUAGCUUGGUGUCUCCAGAGCUCACGGGAGCCCUCUAGGGGUGGGACAGGAUGGGGUGGGGGCAGCUGAAGAGGAAGGAGCCCCUGGAGAGAGGUUUAAGCCAAGCCUGCCCCAGGGAAGUGUCUCUGGCUGGUUGUGUUUUCAGGGACUG